rnacentral:lncRNA from 1 species
UCGCACUCUAACUUUAAUAAAAGUGAAUGGAAAUCUAUGAAAUUUUAACACAAGGUUUAUGACCACAAAAGGAAGGUUGGUAUUGAUUUUGGGAGUUUUGGUCCCAAUAUUUUAGGAAUUAGGGGCCAAAAAGGGCCCAAAUAAGCAUUUUCUUGGUUUUCGCACUAUAACUUUAGUUUAAGUUAAUAGAAAUCUAUGAAAUUUUGACACAAGGUUUAUGACCACAAAAGAACGGUUGGGAUUGAAUUUGGGAGUUUAGGUUUCAACAGUUUAGGAAUUAGGGGCCAAAAAAGGGCCCAAAUAAGCAUUAUUCUUGGUUUUCGCACAAUAACUUUAGUUUAAGUAAAUAGAAAUCAAUGAAAUUUAAACACAAUGUUAAUGACUACAAAAGGAAGGUUGGGUUUGAUUUUGGGAGUUUAGGUCCCAACAGUUUAGGAAUAAGGGGCCAAAAAGGGACCCAAAUUAGCAUUUUUCUUGGUUUUCGCACCAUAACGUUAGUAUAAGUAAAUAGAAAUCUAUGAAAUUUAAACACAAGGUUUAUGAC